GGCCGGUCCAAAGGUCGUGAUUGAUCACAGAGAGUUACAGAUUGAACUCCUUGUUCUACUCUUUUCUCCCUUCUCACUACUGCACUUGACCAGUCUUUA
ensembl:misc_RNA Y_RNA Y RNA